GAUGAACGCUAGCGGGAGGCUUAACACAUGCAAGUCGAGGGGCAGCACGAGGUAGCAAUACUUUGAUGGCGACCGGCGCACGGGUGAGUAACGCGUAUGUAACCUACCCUGUACAGGGGGAUAGCCCGGAGAAAUUCGGAUUAAUACCCCAUAAUGAUAUCGAGAGGCAUCUUUUGAUAUUUAAAGCUUCGGCGGUACGGGAUGGGCAUGCGUGACAUUAGCUAGUUGGUAAGGUAACGGAUUACCAAGGCUGCGUGGUCUAGGGGUCCUGAGAGGGUGAUCCCCAACACUGGUACUGAGACACGGACAAGACUCCAGCGGGAGGCAGCAGUGAGGAAUAUUGGUCAAUGGGCUUAAGCCUGAACCAGCCAUCCCGCGUGAAGGAAGAAGGCGCUAUGCGUCGUAAACUUCUUUUCCAGAGGAAUAAAAUUUUGUACGCGUACAGAACUGAAGGUACUCUGGGAAUAAGCAUCGGCUAACUCCGUGCCAGCAGCCGCAGUAAGAC
rnacentral:rRNA from 1 species